AGGACGAACGCUGGCGGCGUGCUUAACACAUGCAAGUCGAGCGGAAAGGCCCUUCGGGGUACUCGAGCGGCGAACGGGUGAGUAACACGUGAGUAACCUGCCCUCCACUCUGGGAUAAGCCCGGGAAACUGGGUCUAAUACCGGAUAUGACUCCUUGUCGCUUGGCGGGGGUGGAAAGUUUUUCGGUGGGGAUGGACUCGCGGCCUAUCAGCUUGUUGGUGAGGUAAUGGCUUACCAAGGCGACGACGGGUAGCCGGCCUGAGAGGGCGACCGGCCACGACUGGGACUGAGACACGGCCCAGACUCCUACGGGAGGCAGCAGUGGGGAAUCUUGCACAAUGGGCGAAAGCCUGAUGCAGCAACGCCGCGUGCGGGAAGAAGGCCCUCGGGUUGUAAACCGGCUUUCAGGAGGAACGAAACUGACGGUACUUUCAGAAGAAGGUGCGGCCAACUACGUGCCAGCAGCCGC
rnacentral:rRNA from 1 species